rnacentral:lncRNA from 1 species
AACCUUUCCUUGUCCUCAAGGAAACAACUUUUACCUCAAGCUUUUGUGUCAAGACCCUGGCAUUUCCUUAAAUUCACUCGAAUCAUACAUACGUGAGGAUCACCUGAUGAUCAAUGAUCCACCUGCAAACAAUGCUCAAUUGCACAAUCGCUCCCGCAAGACAUUUUCAAGUAAUUCACACUUUUCAACCAAGGCUCUAAGAUCCCAUCACACUACUCACAUACACUCUUCAGUUUUGGUAAUUCACUCAAAUCAACACAUCAAUGCAGGUCAACAAUAAUUUUGCAAGUAGUCUAAGAAUUCAUUCGGUUCACUUUGUGCACACACUUUAGAAGUCUUUUAGGGUUAUAACGUGGCUUGGCUAGGGUGGAUGGUGACAUUUUGGGAUAAGUAGUAGAAAAACUUGGAGUUAGAUCUCCCUAAGGUCAAAAAUUCAUAAACAAAACCCCUUCUUCUUUUGAACUAAAGUGGACUAGAGAACUUUUCAAUUCAUCAAGUAAAGUUUGUAAUACUAUUGAAAUCAAGGCUAUCACUUCUUUUUGUACUUCUUUUCCAAUAUUUCUUUUCUUUUCUCUUUUUUUUUUUAUUUUCAUCAUUUUUUUU